rnacentral:rRNA from 1 species
UACGUAGGUGGCAAGCGUUGUCCGGAUUUAUUGGGUUUAAAGGGUGCGUAGGCGGUUCUGUAAGUCAGCGGUGAAAUACUCCAGCUUAACUGGAGGGGUGCCAAUGAUACUGCAGAACUUGAGUACAGAUGAGGUAGGCGGAAUUGACGGUGUAGCGGUGAAAUGCAUAGAUAUCGUCAAGAACACCUAUAGCGAAGGCAGCUUACUGGGCUGUAACUGACGCUGAGGCACGAAAGUGUGGGGAUCAAACAGG